GACGAACGCUGGCGGCGUGCUUAACACAUGCAAGUCGAACGGAAAGGCCCUGCUUUUGUGGGGUGCUCGAGUGGCGAACGGGUGAGUAACACGUGAGUAACCUGCCCUUGACUUUGGGAUAACUUCAGGAAACUGGGGCUAAUACCGGAUAGGAGCUCCUGCUGCAUGGUGGGGGUUGGAAAGUUUCGGCGGUUGGGGAUGGACUCGCGGCUUAUCAGCUUGUUGGUGGGGUAGUGGCUUACCAGGGCUUUGACGGGUAGCCGGCCUGAGAGGGUGACCGGCCACAUUGGGACUGAGAUACGGCCCAGACUCCUACGGGAGGCAGCAGUGGGGAAUAUUGCACAAUGGGCGGAAGCCUGAUGCAGCAACGCCGCGUGCGGGAUGACGGCCUUCGGGUUGUAAACCGCUUUCGCCUGUGACGAAGCGUGAGUGACGGUAAUGGGUAAAGAAGCACCGGCUAACUACGUGCCAGCAGCCGCGGUGAUACGUAGGGUGCGAGCGUUGUCCGGAUUUAUUGGGCGUAAAGGGCUCGUAGGUGGUUGAUCGCGUCGGAAGUGUAAUCUUGGGGCUUAACCCUGAGCGUGCUUUCGAUACGGGUUGACUUGAGGAAGGUAGGGGAGAAUGGAAUUCCUGGUGGAGCGGUGGAAUGCGCAGAUAUCAGGAGGAACACCAGUGGCGAAGGCGGUUCUCUGGGCCUUUCCUGACGCUGAGGAGCGAAAGCGUGGGGAGCGAACAGGCUUAGAUACCCUGGUAGUCCACGCUGUAAACGGUGGGUACUAGGUGUGGGGUCCAUUCCACGGGUUCCGUGCCGUAGCUAACGCUUUAAGUACCCCGCCUGGGGAGUACGGCCGCAAGGCUAAAACUCAAAGGAAUUGACGGGGCCCCGCACAAGCGGCGGAGCAUGCGGAUUAAUUCGAUGCAACGCGUAGAACCUUACCUGGGUUUGACAUGGAUCGGGAGCGCUCAGAGAUGGGUGUGCCUCUUUUGGGGUCGGUUCACAGGUGGUGCAUGGCUGUCGUCAGCUCGUGUCGUGAGAUGUUGGGUUAAGUCCCGCAACGAGCGCAACCCUUGUUCACUGUUGCCAGCACGUUAUGGUGGGGACUCAGUGGAGACCGCCGGGGUCAACUCGGAGGAAGGUGGGGAUGACGUCAAGUCAUCAUGCCCCUUAUGUCCAGGGCUUCACGCAUGCUACAAUGGCUGGUACAGAGAGUGGCGAGCCUGUGAGGGUGAGCGAAUCUCGGAAAGCCGGUCUCAGUUCGGAUUGGGGUCUGCAACUCGACCUCAUGAAGUCGGAGUCGCUAGUAAUCGCAGAUCAGCAACGCUGCGGUGAAUACGUUCCCGGGGCU
rnacentral:rRNA from 1 species